rnacentral:tRNA from 1 species
GGGCGGAUACCCAAGCGGCCAAAGGGGACAGACUGUAAAUCUGUUGGCGUAUGCCUUCGCAGGUUCGAAUCCUGCUCCGCCCA